CAAUAAGGUGUUACUGUUGAGACAAAUUCCUUAUGGGAGAAAAUGCCAGAAAUGCUCCAUGUUGGGAAUAUCUUUUAUGCCUAUUGUAAAAAUCUCUCUCCCUCUCCCCUAUGUAGGACAUCGUUCAACUCUCUGAGUAUCUACAGGAGGCUCUGCGGCGAGAGGAUUCUCUGAAACAGAAGCUGUCUCUACUGCAGCACACCACCUCUACUCUACUGCUCUCACAUGACAAUGUCUGGAAGCUCCAGGGCAGUGGUUGUCGGUGUGCCUGGUAUUCAUGACGGCAUCCCUACAGAGCAAAGGUCUGUCAGGGAGGGAUCCUUGACUAGCCCAUGCAGACUCCUGUAAAUCACUCCUGUUGUCAACAAGUUGCCUUCAACUGUCCCACACCACUCUAUAGUAGCUCAAAAUGUAAGUUUCCUGCAUGUCACUUCUCUGAUGGUUUGCCCAUGUGUGACGACAGUGUGAGGAUGCAAUGUGGGUGUCAUGAUAGUGGAACAGAAGUGUGAACAUGAGCAGUGUGGUUUCUCUCAUUUCCUGUUCUGAGAGUGAGUAUGUGACAGUUACUGAAUUCAAAGACAACAGAGGAGGAGAAACGAUAGAGGAGACAUCAGGCUGCUGGGUUCUUUGAACAUUUUCAGUUGAAGUUCAUCCACCAAAAUGGAGAUCCAAAAAGACCUCAGGAUGAGACGGCCUCAGAUGGAGAGUUACGACCAAAAGCUGGAACAACGGGCAGCAAAACAUGAGUUCUUGAGAGAUCGCAACAAUGUGACGACAUGUCGCAGCCCAGGACACAAGCUAGAGGCAGACUGGAAGAGUGAGAUGCAGCAGAAAAGACAGAUAGAGUUCCAGAGAAGGAGACAGAUUGUCCAGGCUGCCACUCAUCAGGCUGAUGAAAAGCAGUCAAACAAGGAGGCCAAAGUCACGAUGAGGACCAACAGGCAGAGAGUGCCUCUCAUACACAGACAGUCCCUCAUAUCAGCAGAGGAUCUGGGGAUCACCUGGCCAGAUGUACACUCCAUCGGGAAGGCGACAUGGAUCACCUCACCACCACUGCAUGGGGCAGGAGGGAAAAACAAAAUAGGGCAGCUCCACUCUGACCUCUCACAGAUAUUCCCUCAAACACCACAGCAGCCCUCACUGAGGAAGAGUAUGGAUAUCAGAGAUAAAGUAGUUAAACAGGACCAGAGUGGCCUAGUAAUGUUAACCAGACAGCUCCAACAAAGGAAUGCCUGCUGUCAGACAGAGCAUGGCUAUAGCACUGUGAAGGAGACUGACAUCGUUCAACUCUCUGAGUAUCUACAGGAGGCUCUGCGGCGAGAGGAUUCUCUGAAACAGAAGCUGUCUCUACUGCAGCACACCACCUCUACUCUACUGCUCUCACAUGACAAUGUCUGGAAGGUCUGUUGCAAAGAGGACAAGAUGAAGGGAAAGAUUGGGGCACUAGAGUCACAGCUGAAGAUCUGUGUGCAGAGGCUGUCCAGGGAUGGAGCCAAGAAGCUGCUGCUACAGUCGGAGCAGCAGAGGCAGGAGCUGGAGGAGAUGGCCUUGGCCUCACUCCAGAGGGUCACUGACCAAAAAAACAAGGCCCAGGACAGAGCUCACAGCCUGGAAAUGGCACUGCAGACUGCCCAGGUUGAGUCAUCACAGUGCCGAGAGCGCUAUGAAGAGGAGAGGAGGAAAUGCACCCAGCUGAGGACGUCUCUGGUGCAGAACAUAGACCAUAUAAACCUAUUACAGAGCCAACUAGAGAAAGUUAUGGGACAGGAUGCAACUCUGGAGAGUCAGCUGCUGCACCACCGACACACUGAGGCUGAGCUCCACCUCAAGAUCAACCUCCUAGAGGACAACCUCCACACCUGCAGGACACAACUAGAGACAUGGAGACAGCAAGACACCAUGAAACAGCAGGAGAUUGUCAGAGGACAGCAACAGGACUCCAUAGCCCUGCCACAAAAGGACCAGCUGACAUCAUGUCAGUGAUUCUCUCGUUAACACAGGUGUGAGUGUUGACGAGGACAAGGCUGGAGAUCACUCUGUCAUGCUGAUUGAGUUCGAAUAACAGACUGGAAGCUUCAAAAGGAGGGUGGUGCUUGGAAUCAUUGUUCUUCCUCUGUCAACCAUGGUUACCUGCAAGGAAACACCUGCUGUCAUCAUUGCUUUGCACAAAAAGGGCUUCACAGGCAAGGAUAUUGCUGCCAGUAAGAUUGUACCUAAAUCAACCAUUUAUCGGAUCAUCAAGAACAUCAAGGAGAGCGGUUCAAUUGUUGUGAAGAAGGCUUCAAGACACCCAAGAAAGUCCAGUAAGCGCCAGGACCGUCUCCUAAAGUUGAUUCAGCUGCGGGAUCGAGGCACCACCAGUGCAGAGCUUGCUCAGGAAUGGCAGCAGGCAGGUGUGAGUGCAGCUGCACGCACAGUGAGGUGAGGACUUUGAGGAUGGCCUGGUGUCAAGAAGGGCAGCAAAGAAGCCACUUCUCUCCAGGAAAAACAGACUGAUAUUCUGCAGAAGGUACAGGGAUUGGACUGCUGAGGACUGGGGUAAAGUCAUUUUCUCUGAUAAAUCCCCACUCCAAUUGUUUGGGGCCUCUGGGGAAAAAAGCUUGUCCGGUGAAGACAAGGUGACUGCUACCAUCAGUCCUGUGUCAUGCCAACAGUAAAGCAUCCUGAGACCAUUCAUGUGUGGGGUUGCUUCUCAGCCAAGGGAUUGGGCUCACUCACAAUUUUGCUUAAGAACAUAGCCAUGAAUAAAGAAUGGUACCAACACAUCCUCUGAGAGCAACUUCUCCCAACCAUCCAGGAACAGUUUGGUGACGAACAAUGCUUUUUCCAGCAUGAUGGAGCACCUUGCCAUAAGGCAAAAGUGAUAACUAAGUGACUCGGCGAACAAAACAUUGAUAUUUUGGAUCCAUGGCCAGGAAACUCCCCAAACCUUAAUCCCAUUGAGAACUUCUGGUCAAUCCUCAAGAGGCAGGCAGACAAACAAAACCCACAAAUUCUGACAAACUCCAAGCAUUGAUUAUGCAAGAAUGGGCUGCCAUCAGUCAGGAUGUGGCCCAGACAGCAUGCAAGGGCAGAUUGCAGAGGUCUUGAAAAGGGUCAACACUGCAAACAUUGACUCUUUGCAUCAACUUCAUGUAAUUGUCAAUACAAGCCUUUGACACUUAUGAAAUACUUGUAAUUAUACUUCAGUAUUCCAUAGUAACAUCUGACAAAAAUAUCUAAAGACACUGAGGCAGCAGACUGUGAAAAUUGUCAUUCUCAAAACUUUUGGCCACAACUGUACAGUAUAUAUCCACUAGCAGAUUUAAAUAAACGUUGAAUUGCAUAAAUUACUGUAGUGGGUCAGUUGUUUUAACUGCUAUUUUGACCAUGAUAUUUAUUAGUCUGUAAAUGUGUUGAAAUCAAUAGAGCAUUCAUUGGAUAAGCAGUUUCAGCCAGCCAUGUCACACCCCAGCAACAAGAAACAAAGCAUGAUGGAAGCCAAUGUCAAAAGGAGAGAGAGACGUUGUCGUCCCUGGUUCAUCCUGACCCUGUUCGUGAUAGUCAUGGUGGUGGCCA